AAGGGGAGCAAUCCCUGAGUAAAGUGGCGACCGGGUGAGUAACACGUGACUAACCUACCCUCGAGUGUGGAAUAACAUCGGGAAACCGAUGCUAAUACCGCAUAACAUCGCAAGAUCAAAGGAGCAAUCCGCUUGAGGAGGGGGUCGCGGCUGAUUAGCUAGUUGGCGGGGUAACGGCCCACCAAGGCGAAGAUCGGUAUCCGGCCUGAGAGGGCGCACGGACACACUGGAACUGAAACACGGUCCAGACUCCUACGGGAGGCAGCAGUGGGGAAUUUUGCGCAAUGGGGGAAACCCUGACGCAGCAACGCCGCGUGGAGGAUGAAGCCCCUUGGG
rnacentral:rRNA from 1 species